GUGAACGCUGGCGGUAGGCCUAACACAUGCAAGUCGAACGGCAGCACAGUAAGAGCUUGCUCUUACGGGUGGCGAGUGGCGGACGGGUGAGGAAUACAUCGGAAUCUACUUUUUCGUGGGGGAUAACGUAGGGAAACUUACGCUAAUACCGCAUACGACCUACGGGUGAAAGCAGGGGAUCUUCGGACCUUGCGCGAUUGAAUGAGCCGAUGUCGGAUUAGCUAGUUGGCGGGGUAAAGGCCCACCAAGGCGACGAUCCGUAGCUGGUCUGAGAGGAUGAUCAGCCACACUGGAACUGAGACACGGUCCAGACUCCUACGGGAGGCAGCAGUGGGGAAUAUUGGACAAUGGGCGCAAGUCUGAUCCAGCCAUACCGCGUGGGUGAAGAAGGCCUUCGGGUUGUAAAGCCCUUUUGUUGGGAAAGAAAAGCAGCAGGUUAAUACCCCGCUGUUCUGACGGUACCCAAAGAAUAAGCACCGGCUAACUUCGUG
rnacentral:rRNA from 1 species